UUCCUAACCAUGAAUUUUUAAUUCAAUAAAUGAGAUGGUAAAUAUAACUUACUAUAUUCAUCCAAAAUAUUUUAAUAAAAACAUAAACACCUUCUAGAAAAAAAAAUCCUAAAAAUAUACAUGUGAUUCUAAUCUAUAUUUAAACAUAUACACUCAACUUGAUGAAUCCAUAAAACGAUACGUGUGCUUGAUGUACCAACACACCACAAUUCAGAGGAUAGAAAGAAAAAGAAAGAAAGAGAGAGAGGCUAAUUGGGUGUG
rnacentral:misc_RNA from 1 species